UACACCCGCCAGGGAAUUACGAGCCCAACCUUAAAACCCAAAGGACUUGACGGUGCCCCACCCACCUAGAGGAGCCUGUUCUAUAAUCGACACCCCCCGAUAUACCUUACCACUUCUAGCUACUCAGUCUGUAUACCUCCGUCGUAAGCUUACCAUGUGAACGCACUAGUGAGCUAAAAGAUCUAACAUCAACACGUCAGGUCAAGGUGCAGCUUACGAAGCGGAAAGCAAUGGGCUACAAUUUCUAUGACAGAACACACGAAAAACUACAUGCAACACAGUCACGAAGGUGGAUUUAGUAGUAAAAAGAAAACAGAGAGUUCUUUUUAAUUAUGGCGCUGGGACGCGU
rnacentral:rRNA from 1 species